GAAUCGUAAACAUUUAUCGAUAUAACUUUUUCACUACACAUGCCUUCUGAAUUUUAAUAAAAUGGAAAAUAUUAAAAGAGCUUGAGCUCCAAGUUUAAAUAAAUAUUCAGCGGUGCUACAUACGCCCGGUAGUUAAAUGUGCCCUGAAAUUAAUGUGAUGUCGACUGUGUGUGAUGGCGGGUAAAGAGUUAGUAAGCCAUCAGCAACAGUUUGUUGAAGAAAUUAAUUACGAUGAAAUUGAAACCGAGCAGGUAGUAGGAAAAGGAUCUUUUGGAGUAGUAUGGAAAGGAAAAUGGAGAGGACAAUAUGUUGCUAUAAAAUAUAUAAAUUCAGAAGGUGAAAAGAAGGCCUUCACCGUAGAAGUUAGACAAUUAUCAAGGGUUGUGCAUCCCAAUAUUGUAAAACUUUAUGGUGCAUGCACUAAGAAUCCAGUCUGUUUAGUUAUGGAGUAUGCUGAAGGCGGUUCUUUAUAUAAUGUUCUGCAUUGCAAUCCUCAGCCACGAUAUACUGCAGGACAUGCAAUGAGUUGGGCAUUACAAUGUGCACGUGGAGUAGCAUAUCUUCAUAACAUGAAACCAAAACCACUAAUACAUAGAGAUUUAAAGCCUCCCAAUUUGUUAUUGGUAAUGGGGGGACAAACUCUUAAAAUAUGUGAUUUUGGCACAGCAUGUGAUUUAAACACAUAUAUGACCAAUAACAAAGGUUCUGCUGCUUGGAUGGCUCCAGAAGUAUUUGAGGGUUCUAGAUAUACAGAAAAAUGUGAUGUGUUUAGUUGGGGUGUUAUUUUAUGGGAAAUAUUAUCAAGAAAAAAACCAUUUGAUGAAAUUGGUGGUUCAGCCUAUAGAAUAAUGUGGGCAGUUCAUGUUGGACAGAGGCCCCCUUUAAUUGAAGGUUGUCCAAAGCCAAUUGAAGAUCUUCUGACCAGAUGUUGGCACAAAUUUCCUGCAGAGAGACCAUCAAUGGAUGAAGUCGUUGAAAUAAUGACGAUUUUAUCACAAUUUUUCAGUAGUCAUUUAGAACCUGUUGAAUAUUCGCCAAACGCUGAAUCAGAAGAAGUUAACGAGAAUCAUAAUUCUAAAUACGACUCCGAUUCAGAAUAUGAUACUGAAAAUAAUGGAUGCAUUGAUAACAGUACCAUCAAAGCUAGUAUUCCUGAUUCUAAACAAGAACCAGAAGUUCAAAAUGGAGAAAAUAGUUCAUCCAAUUUGUUGCACGAUUUCAAGAAUCCGCCUCCUAAAAAUAGUAAUUCAGUAAAUGAUGUAACCAAUAAAAAAUCUCAAAUAAAUAAUUUUCCACAACUUUACGUUGAGUGUGAUCCGAAUUCUUGGGAAUUGUCGAGUUCUGAAGCUUCAUUAGAAUCACCCAUUCUAAAGAUAAAGAAUCCUGGUCAGAGUAACAGUACAACGGAUAAAGAUUUGGACAAUGUUUACCGCCUCCUGGAUGCUGAUCUGAGGCCACUGACACCUGAUCAAACUUGUGAAAGGUCCAAAGAAAUCUUUGAAGAGCAUAAACAACUUGCGCAGGAAUAUUUGAAAGUCCAAACAGAGAUCGCGUUGUUGAGCCAGCAUAAAAACGAAAUGCUUAAAAAUUUGACUAUAGACAGUCUGAGGCAGCAAGAGGAACUCAGGAAGCUUGAAGAGGAGAAGGGAGCCUUGAUACAACUGUAUCGCAACUUGAAACGACAGUUAGAAAUUAUGAAGAACCAAAGAGUGAACAAUGCCCUAUUGAGCAAUGCUCAGAUGGGACCAACAGUUUCAGGAAACAAUGGAUGGUUCGUGGUGCCGUGUCAAGAUCCUUCGAGACAUUCAUGAAUAUCUAUAUUAGAUAAGUUCGAGAUUUAAGUCAAAUUCUUUCUUGAUAUUAUUUUUGUGAAAGAAGUUCCCUGCUUCCUUUUGGCGGCGAACAUGAGACAUCGAUUUCCUCGCGAACCUAGCAAGAAUUUUUUUUAUAAAAAUGGGUUCAAUCGUUUCUGAAGAAACUAGUUUACAGUAUAUUUUAUUUUGCGAGAUGGUUCUGCGUGUCAUGAUGCAGUAAUUAGGCGCGAUUGAACACGUGAAAGACUGCUUGGUGAACAAAAUGUAAUAGAUGUAGCAUGUGUCUCUUUUUCACUAAAGAAUGAAAAGGACCAUAUAAAUGGAACUUUCAUUGCUAAACUUUUGCUACCAAUAGUCUGCCGCUGAAAAUUUGAAUAUUUUAUAUUUAGGAAGCACAAGUAUGAAGGGGAUUUUCUGCGGGUUAAAAUAUAGUGAAACUGCACUGUAAUAUAUCUAUGAAAUUUUUUAUUGAAAAUGCUAGGUUUUUAUUUAAAAAGAAAGAAAUGUCUAGAAAUUUUUUUUAUUUUUAUUUGUUAUUUAAAUGUCUUUCAGAAUAUCAGAAUCUAUGGUUUUAAGAGUAUACUUUGCUUUAUCUAUAAAAUUAAGAAAAAAAAUCAAAAGUGAUUUAUUGUUCUAGCAGAAACGUUUAAGUUGUGAUUCACUGAAAAUUGCUAAAUAUAAAUUGAAAACACAAUGAAAUAGUAUUUAUGAUUCCUAAAUGUGAUUGUAUACAGUUUGAAGUAUUUCUUAAAUCAACAAUUGGCAAUCAACUAAUUGCCAGCGAUAUAGUGAUUAGUGUACAUGUUUAUAUAAGAAG
rnacentral:misc_RNA from 1 species